GGCUCGUUGGUCAAGAGGUUAAGACACCGCCCUUUCACGGCGGUAACAGGGGUUCAAUUCCCCUACGAGUC
rnacentral:tRNA from 1 species